ensembl:lncRNA
UAGAAACGUCUGCAUCAAGACUGGCUGUUCCUUAAAAGGCAAAGUUAAAGAUCGAGGGGAGAUCGUCUGGCACACGUAGCACAGCAGAACCUGGAGCCCCGUGCCUGCACCAGAGGCAAUGGGCAUGAAUGGAAACACGGGAGGUUCUGUCUGAACAUCAGAAAAUAGUCCUUCAGAAUUAGGAAAUUUCUUCUUGGCUGUAGAGGAAGCACAAGGAGAUUAAGCUUGCUGGGCUAAAGAAAGUGAAUCCACUGCUGUGAGUACAGAAUCUCAGAACUGGAGGGGAUGGAAGGGACCUUUGGAGAUCAUCCAGUCCAAAAGCUCCAUUAACAGGUUGUAUGCAAGCGGGUGGGAGAAGACGACUACCCCAGGAUGUGGAGAUGGAUGUGGCUAAACACUUAACAAACCUUGAGAAUGAAAAUAAACAGCCUCUAUUGCAGUUUCCUUGGCGCCAGUGUUCUUCCUGUUAGAGCACAGGUUUUGGCAAGCGGUUGGGAUAAGCACUUUGGCAGGCUGCUCCUCCUCGUGCUUUGGAGCAACGCCUGACUGGCUGGUGAGAGCCAUCAGCUGUCAUCAGCUAAACCCACUUUCACACAUUUUUUUUCUAGCUUAUCAAACCAUUUGUUUCUCUGCUGGUACACGGUUCAUAGAUCUGCCUUCCCAAGCUGCUUACUAAUCAUUGACUCUUUUUCCC